GAUGAACGCUGGCGGCGUGCUUAACACAUGCAAGUCGAACGAAGCAAUCAUACAGAAGUUUUCGGAUGGAAGAAUGAUUGACUGAGUGGCGGACGGGUGAGUAACGCGUGGAUAACCUACCUCAUACAGGGGGAUAACAACCAGAAAUGGUUGCUAAUACCGCAUAAGCGCACAGGACCGCAUGGUCUGGUGUGAAAAACUCCGGUGGUAUGAGAUGGAUCCGCGUCUGAUUAGCUAGUUGGUAAGGUAAGAGCUUACCAAGGCGACGAUCAGUAGCCGACCUGAGAGGGUGACCGGCCACAUUGGGACUGAGACACGGCCCAAACUCCUACGGGAGGCAGCAGUGGGGAAUAUUGCACAAUGGGGGAAACCCUGAUGCAGCGACGCCGCGUGAAGGAAGAAGUAUUUCGGUAUGUAAACUUCUAUCAGCAGGGAAGAAAAUGACGGUACCUGACUAAGAAGCCCCGGCUAAUUACGUGCCAGCCGCCGCGGUAAAAC
rnacentral:rRNA from 1 species